GUGGGGAAUAUUGCACAAUGGGCGAAAGCCUGAUGCAGCGACGCCGCGUGGGGGAUGACGGCCUUCGGGUUGUAAACCCCUUUCAGUAGGGAAGAAGCGAGAGUGACGGUACCUGCAGAAGAAGCGCCGGCUAACUACGUGCCAGCAGCCGCGGUAAUACGUAGGGCGCAAGCGUUGUCCGGAAUUAUUGGGCGUAAAGAGCUUGUAGGUGGCUUGUCGCGUCUGCCGUGAAAACCCGAGGCUCAACCUCGGGCGUGCGGUGGGUACGGGCAGGCUAGAGUGUGGUAGGGGAGACUGGAACUCCUGGUGUAGCGGUGAAAUGCGCAGAUAUCAGGAAGAACACCGAUGGCGAAGGCAGGUCUCUGGGCCAUUACUGACACUGAGAAGCGAAAGCAUGGGUAGCGA
rnacentral:rRNA from 1 species